GGAUAGCUCAGUUGGUAAGAGCGUGAGUCUCUCAAUCUCAGGGUUGUGAUCCUCGUGGUCCCUUCCUAGGGGACAUGGCUGGCUCAGUGGUUUAGACCACAGACCUCUUGGGCUUGCCGAUCAGAAGGUCGGUGGUUCAAAUCCCCGUGAUGGGGUGAGCU